UACAGAGGAUGCGAGCGUUGUCCGGAAUCACUGGGCGUAAAGGGCGCGUAGGUGGCGACCCAAGUCGAUGGUGAAAGCUCGCCGCUCAACGGCGAGUCGGCCACCGAUACUGGGUUGCUGGAGCACUGUAGAGGCUCAUGGAAUUCCGGGUGUAGCGGUGGAAUGCGUAGAGAUCCGGAAGAACACCGGUGGCGAAGGCGGUGAGCUGGGCAGUUGCUGACACUGAGGCGCGGACAGCGUGGGGAGCAAACAGG
rnacentral:rRNA from 1 species